GAGCUGAACGAACCAUCACCCCUCUGCUGAAACAAGGAAAGAGCAUGUGUGAACAGUCCAGGAGAGUCUGGCCUCUGAGGUUCCAGCAGACACAUGUCGGUGGCAACCAACCGCUGUCUAAUCGGACUUCAGCAGGAGGGGGCAUUACAUCUGCUACUGGAAGCUGAGCCAGCUUUCCCAGGGCUAGUGAGACCAUGGACAUUAGAAAAAACAAAACCUACUACUACCACCAUUUUUGCCAGAGCAGCAUAAUUCCUUACUGCACUCAACAUCCUUACACCCAUAGAGAAGUGCAGCUGCCAACCCUCGUCAAAGAAGCCUCUCUUCACCUCGAACAGAGAUCGUCCCAGAAAAUUACAACUGUACACAGUGCAGGGAUCAAGAGAUUAUAGAGUCCCUGAGGAUACAUCUGCAUUACAGCUCCUCAUCUGUGGCUCAGAGGAUGUAAAGGAAGAGGGGGCAGAAAGAUCAUAAGAGCCAUGCUUUGCUUUCUCAUGUCGGCUUCUACUCCGUCCCUGCCGUCAGUGCUGAAUGAGUAUGACAGACUAAUGUGAACAGGUGCAGUACACACAGGCAUAACCCAGACCCAAUGGCCAGUUUGCAUUCCUACAGUUUAACCGAAAAAUUAACUCAGAAUUAUAGAUUUUUAUUCCAACUUAUUGACUGUAUUGCUUAUUCACCUUGGGCAAAUUAAUAGUAUUUCUGUCUCGAUGUUCUUAUCUACACAAAUCUAGGGGGUUGAGAAAACUGCUUUGCAGUAUAAAGCACACAGUCCAGGGCUUAACACAGCACAACGGCCAAUAAAUGUUAGCUGUUGUGUUCAGUAGGACCUUCUAUAAAAUGUCAGGGCUGACAUGUCCUUAUGGCUCACAUGGAGACAACUGGUUGUGGGUAGAGGAACGUGGGAACUUCGUCUCUGAUGUGGUCAAAGGUAUCAAGGCCACUAGCAUGAGGAUCAAGUCAUUCUAGCUGAUGUACCCCAGGGGAGUCUCCAGGCCCUGGUCAGAUCACAGAGUGCAGGUUCUAGGCAAUGGUACAGUCAGGGCUGCCCUCAAGGUAAUAUGGGCAGAGGGAGACAGUCCCUGAAAGGUUAUUGAAGUAAGUUUACUCCAGAGCUUCCUCCACACCUGAGUCUCCUACAAUGCAACUCACCUGAGGGAGCACCUCUGGAGCAGUGUUGGCUUGUGACCUCAUGGACUGGCAUGAAGCACAUUGACUCUGUGUGCUCCUUCCAUCAAAGAAAAAAAUAUUUCAAAUAUUUGUGGACUACCUUAGUAGAAAAGCGAGUUGUGUAUGAAACACCCUCAAAGUGCAUUUUAAAAAUUUAUUUAUUUGGCAAUACUGAAGAUUAAACCUAUGGGUCAAA